ensembl:lncRNA
CCUGGAAUGGGCAGAGAGAGAGACAGACAGAGAGGGAGGGAGGAAGAGAGAGAGGGAGGGAAAGAAGGAGGGAGAAAGAGAGAGAGACAGAGAGACAGAGAGAGAGACAGAGAAAGAGAGACAGAGAGAGAGACAGAGAGAGACAGAGAGAGACAGAGAGAGAGAGGAUCCUCCACCCUAAACAUGGCCUUCGAGUGCUUGGGUAAGGGUGGACAGAAGCACCAACUUGGGACAUUUAAUGGGACAAGGCUAAACCUGAGUCCAGUUUCCACUUAAAAUUUUCUGUAACUUAAAAAAUUACAUUGAAUUAUUUGGGUGUGUGUGUGGGGGGCAUAUGUAGAGGUCAGAUGACAACUUGUGGGAAUUGGUUCUUCUACCAUGUGGGCCCAAAGGCUCUCACUCAGUCCUCAGGCUUCGUGACUGCUGAGCCGUCUAGCUGGCUGUCCAGUAACUUUUGGGGCCACUGUAAGAGAGAUGGAUCUGAAGCUUGUGUUCAUCUGUGUCAGGCAAACCUUAUUCCUAUUUCUUAACAGAAGGGACAAAUGAGAAUUCAUUAGUAAGCUGUGACCAGCAAAUGUUUUUGCCUUUAUUAUUAACCUAAUAUGUUUGUUUAAAAGGGGGAGGCUGCCUUGCUCCAGUGUAUGGAGUGAGUUGCCUGCUGGCCCGCCAGUUCUGAUAGGAAACCCUGGAGAUUGUUUCCACAUGUGUGUUUACCAUACAAAGAAUUAGUUGCAGUGGUGGAAGGCCUUGGGAUGGGGAAGAUGGAUUCUGAUGGAGGAUUUUGCAUCCUUCAGAUCAAAUGCAGAGAUAUUCUUUCAGGGGAAGGAUUAUGGUACAAGAAACCCCUCGACUAUCCCCUGCCAUCCUCCAGGGCUCAGGCACUACAGUGUGAACCUUCAUGGUCACCAAACAGGUCCCCUCUGCUAUUCUGAGGAUCUCACCUGAUGAGGUGGCCUGAAGGAUGCUAUAAACAGGUCUUAUGGGUGCACAGGGUCUUGGAACACACAUACUCAUGUGUACCUUUGGUGUAUGUAUGAAAUGGACCUGUGACUAUGGAUGACAAGACACUCAGCCAGCUAUUGCACACUGCUCUGAAGGGCCUGUAUACAAAGAGUUGGACAGCCUAAUUUGACUAAAAUGUGCUAGUUGUGAGGGUCUAUAGUGUCUCUGCUCUGAAAACUACUUUUGUUGACACAGUGGCUUCAGCUUCAUCCAUUAAUCUUAUUUUCCAUAUACAGAGUUCUUAUAUGUCCUAGUCCUUCCAAGACUAAAAAGCAUGAACAUCAGAGAGGCGAUACUUAGAUUCAAGUACUAGCUCUGCCACUCACUAACUGUGUGAUUUGGAUGACCUAAUCUCUCUUUCUCUGUCUUUGGCAUAUGUAUGUUUGUGUAGUCUCUCUUUCUCUGUGUCUCUGUCUCUGUUUCUGUCUGUGUGUAUGCAUGCAGAGUCUCUUGUUGAACAGGGAGCUCAUAGACUGUAGCUAGUCUGACUAGCCAGCUUAGUCCAGGGAGCCUUUGUCUUUGUAUUCUCAACACUGUAAUUACAGGCCGGUUGUCAUGCCUAUUUACAUGCAUUCUGAGGAUCUGAACACUGAUCCUUACACUUGUGUGGCAAGUGCUUACUCACCAAACCAUCUCUCACUCUCCCUUAAUCUCUCUGUGCUUCAGUUUCCUCUGUAGCAUGGAGGUGGUGCCACCCCAUAGACUUAGUUUGAGGAUUAAGUUACUGUUUAUAGAGCUUUUAGAUGAAUACCUAGCACAUGGUGGAUGCUGAGCACAGCAGAUGGCUUUAGCUCAUAAAUCCCAUGUGUAAAGAAGCUGUCCUGAUCUAAGGAGAUGAUGGAUCCCUGAACCAAUUUCCUGUACAAAGAUGUUCUGUAGAUCAACAUUUGGAAAACUGAUCAACUUGAUGGGAUUUUGCUGUCAUUUAAAACGAUGUUUAUAGAAAGAUUACAAUAGUGUGGAAGAAUGUUUUAUAAAUAAAAAGUAUGUAAAAUUGUAUAUGUUACUCUGUAUCCAAUUAUGAAAUAGUUGUAUAAAGCAAAGUAAAAAUAAACAAAAGUAUAAACAGUGGUGGCCUCAGGGUGGUUGAUAUAGU